rnacentral:tRNA from 1 species
GCCAGCAUGGCACAGUGGUUUCAGUGUUGGACUACAACUCUGGAGACCAGGGUUCGAUCCCUGCCUCGGCC